rnacentral:lncRNA from 1 species
AGCGUUGCGGUCCGGACAGAGCAAAAAAAACAAGGCAUCAGUAUUGUUGAGUAUUAGCUUGUACCUGGUUCGGAGGCUAAGUAAGUAUUACCUUCCAGUUUGGGGCUGGGGGCGCGGGCCGCGCGAUCUCAAAACUGCAUCUCCCUUCCUCUGUCUUCUCAUAAAUAUUUGGGGGCCAGGAUUCCAAGGCCUGGCGGGAGAGGGACCCCUGCCCCAUUCGCCAUCCCCGGAACUUGCAGAAGUUGCCCGAGGCCCGGAGCGCGCUCUGCGUCCACCCCUCCUCGUUCCCAGUCCAGCACGCCCAGAUUGGACUCCCUCGUCCCGGCGUCCCUGGGGUCUGCGCCCUGGAGCUGCGACAGCGCGGUUCACGGGGCUCCCCGAGACGGGCGGCUUCUUUUGUCACACACGGAGCUGGGGCCCAGCCCGGCCUUUCUCGUGGACCGAGAGACCGAGAGAGAGGGAGAGAGAGAGAGAGAGAGAGAGAGAGCGCGAACGUGCGAGCGAGAGAGCAAGCGGGAGCGCGAGCCGCGCUGCGCCGUUUGGGUAUCUUUCCCCGCGCAGGCCCCAAACCUAGGUGGAGCGGGGCGGGGGGGGGGGGGGGGGGGGGGGGGGGGGGGAGGGGGAGUGGGUCAUCUGGCCUGGUCCGAGACCCUGGCGUUUCAGGCCUGAGCGCGCCGCCCACGGGUACUCUGGGGGAGAGGUGGGGAGCAGAAGACCCAGGGCGGACGGGUCUUUCUGAAGCCAGCUCAGAGGUGGCGUUCACCACGUCUCUUCUCUCCUCGAUGCACCUUCCAGAUCCCGGCUCAGCCAGUCGGGGCACCGUGGUGAGUGGGUCACGCUUUCGAGGGGUGGGGGCGGAACGCUAGAGGUUGUGUGGGCGCUGCUUGUACUUGGCGGCGCGUGCGGGCUGUGUGUACAAGUUGCGUCCAAAGUCGAGCGAAGGUAGAGCGGCUCGGCGGGGAGCCGAGGGUCUGGGGCGUGUGGGGGCGCUUGCAGGUGUGUGUGUGUGUGUGAAGAGGGAGGGGUGGGUCUGGGGGGUGGGGGGAGAGGCCAGGCCACCUUUCCCAAGGGGCCGACCUGGCGACCCGACUCACCAAGGCCGGGAAGCCUCCCCAGGAUUUUUUCCGCCCUGCUCUCCGAAAGUCGUCAUUGGCAGACCGGGUAGGUAGGCCCUGGGCUGGGGCCAGAGAAGUGUGUUUGUGCCAAGACUUGGCUGUGAACGUGUGUUUGGCUCAUCUACGGAGUUUGUUAGUGUAUGUUUGCUGUUUGAGAAUUGCAUUUUUGCCUCUAUUUAUAGUUAGCCAUUAAUCACGUGAAUACAUUUGGGCAUGUGUCUUUUUUGGUGCAAAUCUGUGUGUUUGCAUUUGUUAAUAGUUCUGCGCUGUGUUUUAGUCUGUGUGGUCUUGUUUCUGUCGGGGUAUGCGUAUGUGUGUGUAGGCUUACUUUCAGACACUCAAGCGGGAGGGUGUUUGCACGUGUGAGUGUGCGUGUGGAUAAUAUUAUCGUGUGCGUGUGCUAACAUUGAUGUGUAAGUGGACUUAAAAAAACCUGGAGGUGUGUGUUUGUGCGUGGGUGAGCGUGUGCGUGCUUGAGACGCCGUGUGUGUGUGAGUGUGUGUGUGUGACUGAGCUAGGUUGUGCGCGCAGAAUUUUGUGGGUCUGUGCUUGUAUGCCAGUCACUGUGUGUGUGUGUGUGCGUGUGUGUGUGUGUGUGUGUGUGUGUGUGUGUGUGUGGAUGGCCUGUUUUUGUUUAUGUGACUCCUGUAGGCUUUGGGGGCCCUGUUGUGUGUGUGCUCCUCAUGUUACCUUUGUGGAUUUGAUGGGGGCAGGAUUUCUGGAUGCCCGUGUUGGGGCAUUUGGUGGAGGCACGGAGAUGCUUACUUCUCUCUGUUCCUGUCUAGGCUUAGCGCUGUCCCCCAGUCUCUAGGGGAGGCGAUCUGGCUGGGGACAGGAGAUUGACAGAUGCUGGUCGCCAGGUGGGACACUGCCCCACAGCUGGGUCUCUGAAAAGAAGUCCCCAAAUCGGGUAGCUUCUGCCUGAUGGUGCUGUUACUCCAGCCUCUGGCUUGCCCAGGGACAGGUGUCCACACGAGGUAGCAGCGUGGCUGGUUAGAGCCGGGCUCGGCCAGGAGCAAGUGGACCGGCGCUCGCCCGGUCCCCUAGGCCCAGCUGGGAGAGCUCCCAGAGCCCCAAACGAAAACCACAGUUUCUGGCAGCCUGGCUUUGCCCUCCCGGGGCAUGAGGGGCCCCAGCCUCCAGCGGGGCAGGGUCCAGGAGGACCAAGAACGCACGAGGAGAGAGGCGCCAGGCUGGCAGUGGAGGCCAACUGGGUUGCCUACCCCGCCUUUGUUUCGCUGGGGUUUCUCUCUCCCGCGUUCCCUGCACAUCUGCUUUCCUUUCCGUCUCCUUUUCUUUCUUAUGUUCAGCCUCUGCUCUCUUUCUGUUUUCCCUUCAUCUCUGUUUCUCCAUCACUUUCUCGAUUUCACUCCGUUUUUAUUUUCUCCCCCCUUCUACUCUGCUGGGCGUCCAAAUCCAGCACCGUGCUCAAUGCUUCAGUGAACAAUUCUCAUCGCGCACCGCACAGCUCUUGGGGUGCUGGGAGACUCACAUACAGUCAUUAAAAGCCCCAUCUGACAGCCUUCUGCCCUGUUCUGGACUAAGCACCCCAAACUCACUGUCCUCCAACGCCCACCCCCCCCCCCCCCGCCUGACUGGGUCCUUGAGAGCCAGGUUACUGUGUCUUCCCAGCCCUGGCUUUGCCAACCCUGCCGGCUGCUGGGUGCUGUGUGCCGGGUUCCAUCUGGGACAGACCCACCUGCCCUCACCUCCUGGAUGUGCUUAAAUGCCAGUGCACAGCCAGGCCCCAGCAGGCUGGGGAGGUAGCAGGAAUCGGGGACGGUCUCAGAGAGCAGUUCUGAGUCCUCCGGAGCCUGGAUGUGGUGAGUCACGAGGGGGCCGAGUGCCCGUUUGCAGGAGAAGAGAGCUCUGCUUCCAGAAGCCCUGCUUUGGCCUCUGCCUCCUGUAGCUGGGUUUACCCAUCCCGUGCAGGACAGAGCCCCCCCCCCCCUGAAGUCACCCUGGGGGCCUCAGCCCAGCCCAGCCCCAGUCCAGAACCUCCAUGCCCCAGCCCCACCGCAGGAAAGCCUGCUUGGCCUUUACCAGCCUUCCACCUUCCAGGGCGCACAGCAUCCGAAGAACGCCGGCAGACCAACUAUUAGACGAAUUAUCCCGCCCUAACAGCGCUAACAGAUGGCGACCAGGCAGCGAAAUCCGCUCCUAUAUGUAACUAAUAAACCGCUUGUGUCUUAACAGGGUAAUGCAUGGAGACGCAGUGUCACUUAUACAAGAUGUUGAUGGAAUUUACUAUAUAAAAAUCUUCCUCCUAGACUAAAGAGUAUCAACAUUACAACUCGACAGACGGCGGCGGGAUAAGUAAAACAGACAAAAGACAAGCAAGAUAAUAAUCUGUUUCCAAUCACUUAAGCCCUGUAGAGUUAGUAAUAUGCGGUUUGCAUAUUCUCCCUUGAGUUCGGUAAUUAAUUACCGGCGAAGAGGCACACACCCGCCCGGGGUGGGAGUUUGGAGGCGCGCUGAGCUGGGGCUUGGGGUGCUUCUUCCUUGUCUUCUCCAGCCGGGGACUCGGGGCGGCGGCCGGAACGGGGACUCUUCGCGAAUUUGGAGCUGGCCUCCCCGCAGGCUAAGGAGAAUUUUCAGUCGCGCCUCCCUAACUCCCCGGAAGCUCUCUUGCCUGGGGUGGGGCGGGUGGGUGGUGCUGCAGGCCAGCAGGAACCUGGAGCUUUUGUGGCGGCCGGAAUAUCUCCUUUCGCUCCUCCGAAGGCAUCCCCUCCCCUUGAGUGGUGCGGAGCGGCUUGCUUUCUUGGGGGACGCGCGCUCUGAGGGAACCCUAGGGGUGCGCCCUUCGUUGGCUUCUCCGCGCGGCAUCUUGGGCGGCGCUGCCGGUCCGCUCGCGACUUCGUUCAUUACCUCCCCCCCACCCCCCCAGCCAAACGCAUUCUCCGCAUCCAUCCCCCCCCCCCACCCCGCCCCCAAGAGCCGGCGCGGGCUUUAACAUUAAACAAACGCAGCGAGCGCCUCAGAGCUGCGCUCUCGGCCGGGUCUGCGCGGCGGCGGCGGCGUUACAAAUUGUAAAUUUAAAUUGCUCGCCGGAUUCAUUACUUCCCCUCUUUGAUUUCAGCCAGCCGUGAAAAAUUAUACUGGUGUACCACUGAGAAACUGUUUUGCCGCAAAGAGCCCGCGCCUAAUCACUGGCUUUCUCCCUCCGACAAAAGUGUAAUUAUUUUGUUUGGGGUGUAAAUAUAGGCCGCGCCGCGCACACACACUCAGCGUCCCGCCGCGCCGCCUCGCUCUGCCCGCCGCUGCGCGCAAUCGGCCCCCGAGUAAGAGCGGGCGUGGAGGCUGGGCCCUGACGCCCGGAGGCCUGAGAAGAGCGUCUGGUUUGGCGCUCCGGAGAGACCCAGAGAGCCGAGCUGGCCGGCCGGGUCUCCAACCUCUAUCCUCGGGAGUUCGAGUUUGCCCGAGGACGCCCGGAACGUGUGCGCCCUGGCUGGCCCGGGUGGACGCUGGUGGAGUGCGAUGAGUAGGUCAGGGCUCGGGCGCAGGCCUGGAUAUCCGCUCAGGGAUGCAGAAUGUGGGGGUGGACGAACCUUCCGGGAGCCCCAGGGGGUGGCCACCUGGGGGCAGCCCCGAGUCCAGGCAGGGACAGUAUCUGGGCCUGGGCGUCCCCAAGAGUGCCGGGACAUAGGCGGAACCCUGGAGGACAGGGGCGAUGAGGCCGGUGUGCCCCUAACGCUCUGCCUUGGACUGCUUGGUUUCCAGAACAUCUCUGCGGGGUGCGGGGCCUUCCUGUCAGUUGAAUUGCGCAUGGCUUAAUUAACGGUCUCGUUAACUGGGCAGGCCCGACCUGGAACGUUUAAUCAAAAAGGCAGGGAAUCCCUCUGUUUCCUUCCUUCCUUCCUCCCUCCCUCCCUUCCUUUCUCCCUCCCUUCCUUCCUCCCUCCCUCCCUCCUUCCCUCCCUUCCUUCCUCCCUCCCUCCCUUCCUUCCUCCCUCCCUUCCUUCCUCCCUCCCUCUCUUCCUUUCUCCCUUCCUUCCUCCCUCCCUCCCUUCCUUCCUCUCUUCCUCCCUCCCUCCCUUCCUUCCUCCCUUCCUUCCUUCCUUCCUCCCUCCCUUCCUCCCUCCCUCCCUUCCUUCCUCCCUCCCUUCCUUCCUCCCUCCCUCUCUUCCUUUCUCCCUUCCUUCCUCCCUCCCUCCCUUCCUUCCUCCCUCCCUUCCUUCCUUCCUCCCUCCCUCACUCCCUCCCUUCCUCCCUCCCUCCCUUCCUUCCUCCCUCCCUCCCUCCCUCCCCUCUAUCCAUUCAACAAUGGCACUCUUCCUCAAGCCCCCUCCCUCCCCUGAGUUCCCUUGCCAGGGUGGCUCUUGAGUCUGAACUCAACCCCAGUCUAGUAUCUGCUUGGGACUUUGAGGGGCCCGAGAGGGGCAAGCCAGCAGGGGUUGGGCAACACUGUCACGUUGGGUAGCUUUGGGACGGACUCGGGGGCCAGAAGACUGUGGUCAGCUUCACGGGGUGGAGAGUCGGGUGGCCGGUGCAGGUCAGCUCUGCAGCCUUACCAGGCGCUGGGGAACAGGCCUGGCAACUCUGGGAGGGAGCAGGUGGGGAGGACAGCGGCUGAGCACCGCUUCGGGUUCUGGGAGAUCCAGUCCCAAAGCGCGAGUGCGAGUGCUUGUGAGUGCUGGCCAGCUUAGAGACCCCGACAGUGGUGCGGUGGGGGCAGGGAAUGGUGGCCCCUGUCUCCUUCCUGCAAGCCCCUCUCCUGGAACGCACCCUUCGGGAGUCUCUACUUGCCCAGCAAGCUCCUGCAGCCUGUAUUCCGAGAUUGGGCGCUGCGAUACAGGGCGGGACUCAGGCUCCAUUCGUUGGGAGGCCACCGGCUGGGGCUGAUUCCCCGGAACCAGAAGGGGGCCCGAGGAAGACAGAAAAAAAGGUGCAAGCCAGCCCCCCAACCCUUGAGGGAAACACUGAAGCUUUUGUUCAGAGAGGGGAAACGCUGCCCUUCGCACUUGGUGCUGAGCUGCGGGCUGCCCCAACGCUGCCCGCCGAAGCGCAUCUCCGGGGCGGCCAGAUAAGACGACGGUCGGAGCUGAGAACGGCUGGGAUCCUCCUCAGCCUCGCCCUGGCGGUUAGGCCCGGAGGCCAGCCCCAGCCGUAGGGCGUCGGAGGGCCGGCAGCGCUGAGGGAUUGGGCUGUGGCCACGGCUUCCCUGGCCCCAUUGAGCGUAUCUGAAGGUGGAGACCAGCUGCGGGACUGAGGGAGCCGUUUGGAAGGAGGUGCCUGCAACCCUCCGCCAUCUCUGGAGCACAAACGAGAGAGCUUUCUGGGGACUCUAACCUUCCGAUUUAGGACCCCCUACACUUUCUGGUUACCCUUGAACCAGCGAGUCUGCGUUUGAGCCCGGAUCUUGCUGCCUCUUUCUUUCCUCUUGGUCUUUUUCGCGGUCUCCAUAACAUCCCUCCCGCCCUUCUCUCCCCCUUCUAUCCCACCUCCUCUCCCCGCCCCUCCCUACCCCACCUCCUUUUUGUUAGCCUCAUAUGGGUUCCUUUAGAAUCCGCCCGACUUUGGCAGCCUCGCGCUGUGUGUGUGCGUGCGCGCGCGCGUGUAUUUCUCGGCUGCUAAUGAUUGUGUGUUGAUAGAGUAAAGCAGUGGCCUCAUUAGCCUUUGUUUAGAAGGUGUUAAAAGGGAAAUCUGCAUCGGAAAGCGGCGGUUUACACCGCAGCCGGGCUGAACGAAGCACCGGGGGGGGGGGUGGGGGGCGUCCUCGCCCCCCACCCCGCCCCAGGCGUCGGAUCUCGGGAGGGGGGAGGGGCCCAGGGAAAGCGACCCCCGCUCCCUCCUCCCAAGGCGAGUAUGUUUACCCCGCUGAGCGCCCUUCUGCUCCAAGGGGACCUCAGCGGGGAUGCGCUUUCUCUAAAACUCCUUUGAGCUGCCCAACGGUGCGCGGUGGCCUUUCUCCUCCAGGUUUCUUGGGGGGAGGAGGAGGGGAGGGACAGAAUGCUGUUUAAAAAAAAAAAAUCCAGGAAUUUUUUUUCCCCCUGAAGGGGACGGUGAAGCAUCUUAUUUUGGAGGCGAAUUCCAAUCCGUCUACAGUGGCUGGACUGGGCUUGAGGUCUUCUGGCUGGUUGGUUUGUGGUGAUAUCUCUGUGCUCCAGACGCUGGUGUGGGGGCCCUAAGCUUCAGAUCUGCAAGGGUCCGCUUUCUUUCCUCCUAACAUAUUUGCGGACUGCCAAAGGAAGUCCUCCUUGUGCAGGAGGCUCAUUCUUAAACUUUCCUCGUCUCUACCCCCACCCUAGGGCUCCACUUGGGGAACAAAUUCUAUGAGAACAAAUGGUGGCUUGGCUGGUCGACUUCUCUGAAGCUUGGCAAAAGCGCAGAACUUUAGUGACCCUAGGCUACAUUCUGUGUGUGUGUGUGUGUUAGGAUCUGGAGAAUGAGUUUCACAUGCACGGCAUCUCCUACUCCCUCGGGGAAGCAAGGUUUGAGGCAGAGGAGAACAUGAGACGUUCUUUUUAUCCUGGAUCCUACGAAAGGGCCCAGAAAAAAAAAGUAUUUUGAGCAGCCUCUGUGGGUGAUGCUUGUUGAACUCAGAGCCAGAUGCUUUCUUUGGCGAAAGGGAGAAAAACGAGGCUGAUUUCGUGUGGUGGGAUGUAUAGUUUCUGAACACAACGUAAUCCAUUGCUUUCUGCCAGGCUUAGGUUGAAUCAGAAGAAACCCUUUCUCAUCUUUCUGGCUCCUGUCUCCCAGUGGUGGUUUUCCUGGAUUUGAUGCUGUGGGUCUUGGGCCAAGCUCAGCUGGUCUGGGCGUCCUUGUGUGUCCACAGCUCGGGACGCGCAUCAGCGAACCGUUCGACAUCGCCGCAUUUUUUUUUUUAGUCAAAGGCUAGGCGUUGUCUGGGGACAGAUGUGGGGGUCUAGGACCUGGGACAGUGACAGCAAAACGAAUUCCAAACCCAAUUUGAACUCACCACGGAGACACCCCAGCCCCCAACACCAUGUAGACAGAAGCGAGGUUCCUGGCGAAGCCAAGUUAAUAUCAGCCGCCGUGAUAUGGUGGGAUGGCAUCAGGGCCGAGUUCGGAAGAUACGGGGAGGGGAUAGGAAAAUCCCUCCCUCUCCUCCACGCUCCCUCUCUCUCUCCGAAGCAGGUUUGGUGGAGAAGGCAGCAGGUGCACCAGCGGUCGCUACCUCGCUAAGCGCGGGCCCGGAGUUUGGACCAAGACAAAGACGGGAGCUGUCCGCGGUGCUGAACCUGCCGCGCCGCCAAGGGGGCAAACGGGCUCCUGUAACCUGCCCUCUCCUCCUUCACUCCCUCCUUCCACCUUCCCUUUACCCUGUGAUUUUCGCCCUCUCCUGCGUUUGUUUCCCCCGCUUUGUCUUUCCUUAGCACCCGCGUCCUGUACACAGGUAUAUAUAUCAAAGAACAAAACAACUGACU